UACGUAGGUGACAAGCGUUGUCCGGAUUUACUGGGCGUAAAGAGCGCGCAGGCGGUCGAUCAAGUCGAGUGUGAAAGCCCCCGGCUCAACUGGGGAGGGUCAUUCGAUACUGAUCGACUCGAAGGCAGGAGAGGGUAGUGGAAUUCCCGGUGUAGUGGUGAAAUGCGUAGAUAUCGGGAGGAGCACCAGUGGCGAAAGCGACUUUCUGGUCCUUAACUGACGCUGAGGCGCGAAAGCAUGGGGAGCGAACGGG
rnacentral:rRNA from 1 species